UUUGAUCAUGGCUCAGAUUGAACGCUGGCGGCAGGCCUAACACAUGCAAGUCGAGCGGUAACAGGAAGAAAGCUUGCUUUCUUUGCUGACGAGCGGCGGACGGGUGAGUAAUGCCUAGGGAACUGCCCAGUCGAGGGGGAUAACAGUUGGAAACGACUGCUAAUACCGCAUACGCCUACGGGGGAAAAGAGGGGACCUUCGGGCCUUCUGCGAUUGGAUGUACCUAGGUGGGAUUAGCUAGUUGGUGAGGUAAUGGCUCACCAAGGCGACGAUCCCUAGCUGUUCUGAGAGGAUGAUCAGCCACACUGGGACUGAGACACGGCCCAGACUCCUACGGGAGGCAGCAGUGGGGAAUAUUGCACAAUGGGCGCAAGCCUGAUGCAGCCAUGCCGCGUGUGUGAAGAAGGCUUCGGGUUGUAAAGCACUUUCAGCGAGGAGGAAAGCUUAAGCGUUAAUAGCGUUUAGGUGUGACGUUACUCGCAGAAGAAGGACCGGCUAACUUCGUGCCAGCAGCCGCGGUAAUACGAGGGGUCCAAGCGUUAAUCGGAAUUACUGGGCGUAAAGCGUACGCAGGCGGUUUGUUAAGCGAGAUGUGAAAGCCCCGGGCUCAACCUGGGAAUUGCAUUUCGAACUGGCAGACUAGAGUCUUGUAGAGGGGGGUAGAAUUUCAGGUGUAGCGGUGAAAUGCGUAGAGAUCUGAAGGAAUACCGGUGGCGAAGGCGGCCCCCUGGACAAAGAC
rnacentral:rRNA from 1 species